UUCUGUUGUUACGUCACGGCUAGCAGGUAUUAACUACUAACCUUUUCCUCACAACUGGAAAGUGCUUUACAACCCGAAGGCCUUCUUCACACACGCGGCAUGGCUGCAUCAGGGUUUCCCCCAUUGGUGCAAUAUUCCCCACUGGCUGCCUCCCGUAC
rnacentral:rRNA from 1 species